UACGUAGGGCGCAAGCGUUGUCCGGAAUUAUUGGGCGUAAAGAGCUCGUAGGCGGCCAGUUGCGUCCGCUGUGAAGUCCCGGGGCUUAACCCCGGGCGUGCAGUGGAUACGGGCUGGCUAGAGGCAGGCAGGGGAGAACGGAAUUCCCGGUGUAGCGGUGAAAUUCGUAGAUAUCGGGAGGAACACCGGUGGCGAAGGCGGCUACCUGGACCAGCACUGACACUGAGGCACGAAAGCGUGGGGAGCAAACAGG
rnacentral:rRNA from 1 species